rnacentral:lncRNA from 1 species
UGUCUAGAAAAUUAAAGCAACAAAACUACUCUAAACAUAAAAAAUCUAUAGCAAAAUAAUUAUAGCAGUAAAUAACUUUGACAAAGUAACAUUCUAGAAUAUAAUAGAAAAUGCAUUAAUGUUCAACACUCCCCCUUAAUGCAUUUUUUUUAUACCUCCAAUAGACUCUCUAAGAUAGUAGAUCCUUUCCUUUGGAAGU